AACCCUUUGGUUGCAUCUUUUAAUAGCACUUUAUGAUUUCUUCCUGUUGUAUUUCUUUUAAGUUUAGGAUUAGAAAAGGAUAUUGAAAGGCCAUUUUCUUGAAUUGUGGAAUUUCACUGAAUUUUUGGAAGGAAUUUUCUUCUCUUGAAGUAUCUUGUGUGAUGUUUACACAGCACAAGAUUAAAAUGUUUCCUCUAUCCUCACACUUCCUUCUUCUGGAUGAAAACAGACAUAAUUGUUUGACUAUCUUUAUAUGCAGCUUUUAUUUCUAUCUCUUUUUCUUAAGUCUUCUCAUAUUUCCUGGUUCCAGUACAGCCUCUGUAUGACUAAUUGAUCCAUCUUCAUUAGGCUGUCAUCUGAGUAAAUGAUUGUCACAAUGUAUAAAUACAGUGUUUACUGAAAAAAUAGGAUUUUAAGUAUUGUGCACUUUCAAUUUAUAAUUAUGGUUUUUUGUUAUGAACUGUACUAAUCUUUAAUCUGUUUCAUUGCUGUUUCAUAAAAAACAGAUCUGUGAGUUUACCUCCAGUACUGUUUGGACCUCCUUGCUUCAGUCUCUGGCUAUUAUUAGUGCACUAUCUCACUACUCAAGUAUGUGGCUAGUGAAUUCUGGAAAAUUUGUUGUCUGGGAUAUUGUUGAUAUCUUUCAAAUACACUCUGCAUGCUUUUGACUGUACUGGUUUGCACACUUCCAGAUUUUUUUUAGAAGUAUUUUGAGUUUUGGCUAAGAUCUUCAUGGUUAUGGACUAAUUUCUGAUGGAUUUGGCCUUUGAGGUGCUGAAGUCAUGAGCAGAGCCAGCCAGAGGCUGCCUGAAAGUUCCAGAAACUUCUUACUGGCAAAUCUGUUUCCCAGCAAGAAAUUUCCAGCCUAUCCACACCUCCACUGGGAGUGUUUAUACUGUGCUCUCAAGCACAUGCUGUUACUCUUGGGGUGUCCUGUGCAAGGCCAGAUGUUGGAUUUGAUGAUCCUGGAGUGUCCCUUCCAACUCAGGGUAUUCUAUGACUCUCUGACUCCAAACCCACACCUCACAGUACAGGAAAUGAGAACAGUGAUCUGAUUUCUUGGCCAAGCCCUGACAGACUGCCUUCAGAAGGAGAAGCUGGGAAACUGAUUUUUAAGAGUGACUCAGUAGCAUCAUCUGCAGCCCACCCCUGACUCAAAACUACCAAUCAACCUGUACUGAAUCAGGAAGAAAUCUACAUCCCAAAUUUCCUGCAUACACUAAUGCGUCAAUGGCCCUUUAAAAGUUGUGCUACCAUGUAUCCAACCAUAUGUGUCAACCGACUCCACUGCCAUCUCUUGGGAAUUUUGACUCGUGGCAUAGUUAAAACCAAACCAGGUGCUCAGGACUCCGAGGCUUCCCCAGUACCUCCCAAGAAAAUCUUUGUCACCUCCAGACUUACUGGGGUUUCACCAGAUGAGCCAUCACAGGGGCUCAUCUGGAAAUUUCAUCUCUGCAAGCUCACCAUCGCACUGGUUCCCAUCAACCUUAAACGCCGCCCUGAGCUCGUGGUUUGUCUGACUCGCACCGACCUGAGACCACCUGCAGAGCCCUUGGAGAGAGCAGCAGCUGCACAGCUUCAGAGCAGCACACCAAGCUAACAACCCAUCAGCUUCCUUAUGCCAGAACCUCACUGCUGCUUCACCGGAGGAUUCAGAGCUGCCUACAGGCCUUUCCAGGAGAAGUCCAGGUCCUCAAGAGCAUGACGCUUUCUGAGCACCUCCCAAGCAAGUGUUUCUUUCUACAAGAAGAUCAUCUGAGUGGCUUGGGGUGCUGAUGUUCAUUGAAUAGGAAGUACUCAGCACUAUAAUGUUGUUCUUACUAUUCAGCACAGACUCAUAUUUUAGUAUAUUACUCACACUUUAUUCUGAAUGCUGAUCCUGAGAUCAGCUCAGCCUGUUAGAUCCUGCUGCUAAAAACAUCAAGGUUGUGGGUACAGUCCCUGUAUGGGCCAAAAGUGGAAUUUGAUGAUCCUUAUAGGUCCCUUCCAACAUAAUAUUCUGUGAUGCUGUGGCCUACUAAUUUCUGUGUGAAACUCAGGUGUUUGUCACCCACUACAUUGUCUUAAUGUGCUCCUACAAACACUCCACAAUGUAAAGGAGCAUCAUGAUUGCUUUGCUUUUACUGAUGAUAAAUGAAAGCAUGGAAGUCAAACGUUGUGAUGACAAACUUUUUCAAGUCAGUAUAAUGUGAUUUUUUAAGUUUUCAGGACAGAAUUUCAAGUUACUGAAGUUUAAUUGUGAAAUCUCAACAUGUAUGUGAACUGGGAUGCUCAGGGUUAGAAGUAACAUGCAAAUAAUUCAUGAAAGUUUUGGCUUGGAGCUCUGGGUUUUGGGUCAUUCUGUUUGGUUUGUUUGCAGGAGUUUGUCUAGACUGACCUAUAAAAAUUUCAGUAAGACUUUGUGCAAUGAAAAUUAAAUUCUCAAGGAUA